rnacentral:lncRNA from 1 species
UUUAAAAAAUCUUCCGUCUUAUCUCUUCACGUAAUAACCCAACCGACCAUUUUUAUUUAUUUAUUUUAUUUUUGAGCAAAGUGUUCAAUUUUCAAGCGAUAGUCUGUUUUUCAUUUUUGGUAUUGACGUCAUUCUCCAAACUGUAAAACUGUAAAUCAAUCUUUUAAGAUAUUAAUUCAAGGAAACAAAAUCUCUACACUCUUCCCUCGCUGUUCACCCGGAAUACCCUCCGUUCCACAGCCUUCAAGAGCCAAAAAAAAUUAAUAUGAAGUUCAAGAAAAAGGUGCAUGAUUAAAUGCAUGAUCAUUGUAGGUUCUCAAAGAUAUCUUGGAAAAAAAGUAAAAUGGCGAGAACCCUUUUUUCUAUGAUCACUGUUUUCUUGUUGUGUGCGGUGGUGGUGGAAUCAGGGAUAGGAGUGAACUGGGGCACGGUGGCGCUGCGCAAGUUGUCUCCGGAAACAGUGGUGGA